rnacentral:rRNA from 1 species
UACGGAGGGUGCAAGCGUUGUUCGGAGUUACUGGGCGUAAAGGGUGCGUAGGCGGUUGGUUAAGUUUGGUGUGAAAUCUCCCGGCUCAACUGGGAGGGUGCGCCGAAUACUGAAUGACUAGAGUGCGGGAGAGGAGAGUGGAAUUCCUGGUGUAGCGGUGAAAUGCGUAGAUAUCAGGAGGAACACCGGUGGUGUAGACGGCUCUCUGGACCGUAACUGACGCUGAGGCACGAAAGCGUGGGUAGCAAACAGG